GUGGAGCAAUCCAUGAGUAAAGUGGCGCACGGGUGAGUAACACGUGACUAACCUACCCUUGAGUGGGGGAUAACUGAGGGAAACCUUAGCUAAUACCGCAUAAUACCUACGGGUCAAAGGAGCAAUUCGCUCGAGGAGGGGGUCGCGGCCGAUUAGUUAGUUGGCGGGGUAAUGGCCCACCAAGACUAUGAUCGGUAUCCGGCCUGAGAGGGCGCACGGACACACUGGAACUGAAACACGGUCCAGACUCCUACGGGAGGCAGCAGUGGGGAAUUUUGCGCAAUGGGGGAAACCCUGACGCAGCAACGCCGCGUGGAGGAUGAAGUCCUUCGGGACGUAAACUCCCUUCGAUCGGGACGAUUAUGACGGUACCGGAAGAAGAAGCCCCGGCUAACUUCGUGCCAGCAGCCGCGGUAAUACGAGGGGGGCGAGCGUUGUUCGGAAUUAUUGGGCGUAAAGGGUGCGUAGGCGGUUUGGUAAGUCUGAUGUGAAAUCUAUGGGCUCAACUCAUAGUCUGCAUCGGGAACUGCCGGGCUUGAGUAUGGGAGAGGUGAGUGGAAUUCCUGGUGUAGUGGUGAAAUGCGUAGAUAUCAGGAGGAACACCUGUGGCGAAAGCGGCUCACUGGACCAUAACUGACGCUGAUGCACGAAAGCUAGGGGAGCAAACAGGAUUAGAUACCCUGGUAGUCCUAGCCCUAAACGAUGACUGCUUGGUGUGACGGGUACC
rnacentral:rRNA from 1 species